CUUCGGGUGAAUACCUCUGCCUGGUUGUGCUGGAGCACAGAGGUCUUCGGUCGGGCUGCGGAAAGGUGUUAGGCUUGUUCUAGGUUUACGUUGUAUCUUGUGUUUUGCUUUGUAAGUGUUCGGCCGUCUAUUUUAUUGUAUUUCUUUAUAUAUAUACAAAGUGGGGUGAAUGACUGUUUCAAGAAAUAAAAAUCAGGAAAGACACCCAUGAGAGUCUGAGAUUGCGGUGUGCAGGUCUAGCUAGACUAUAUCUAGUGUGGCAUGCAUUUCUGAAAAGCUACACAUCUCCUUUAGUUCCCCCUAAGGAAGUGUUAUCCCGUUGUCCUUGUGUCCAUGUCCUUUGCUCUUUGCUUUACUCACUUUAUUGCAAGAGAAGCAGCGCGCACGCAGCAGACGGGAGAGCAAGCUAGGCAAGCUAGCAAUGGAGUCGUUGUGGAGAGAGAGAGCAACAUCCCUGCCUCCCCUCCCUCUAUAAAUCCAGCCUCACCUCCUUGCUCCUACCACCAUCCUUCACACUAGUGCACUGUUCUCCACUCACUCAUUCGAUUAACCUAGCUUUCUCUUUCUCUCUCUAGUAGCCGUGGUUGCCUCCUUGUGUUUGCUCCAUGCGCCUUGAGCAUACCCAUCAAGAUCCAGGUUUGUUUCCCCAACUAGUCUGCAAGACACAAAACAUGAAGAGAAACAUAAAACAUAUGAACAUCCCUUUGGUUUUCUUCCUUUGGUCUUGCUUUCUGAUCACCAUUUGGAAGAGUGGUUUGACGAUCGAUCUAGUCAAGAUUGUGCUGUGCCUGGCUCCCUGUAUGCCACACAUGUAGCCCAACCCAUGGAUGUGGUUGCCUGCUGGGUGGCGUGCAAGGGGCCAAGCAUGCAUAUAUGUAUAUAUCUGGCCUUUUAUUUGAUUAUUUCAUUUUUUUUCCUUGAAUUAUUUGAUGUUUCUCCAUUUUUAUCACUGUUUGCAUUUUUAUCCAAUAUGCAUCUCACUCGUCAAUAUCUGGAUUUGCAGGUCCGUGGAAUGUGUUUUAUUCAUCUUCACACCUUCUCCUCUCUUCGAAGAAACCAGGGACGAUAUUAUGCAACUCUAUGAACAUAUGUUGUUUAUUUGGGGAUCACAUUUAGCACAUUACUCAUGUGUGAAAUGUUACCAUCUUUUUUUGCCACUUCUUGAUGCAAAUGCGAUGAUUUAUUAAGAGCUAAUAUCACCAGAAGUCAUAGAACUUGCGUUCGAUGUUCAGUUUAGUGCUAAAACUUUAAAAAUAUAGAAUUAUGGUCACUCAACUUGUCUCUGCGUGCAAAUACGGUCACUUCGUCCAUAUUUAAAUGUAUAUUGAUCUUACAUGGCAUGCCAACGAUGCUAUUCUUUUUACUGAUACACCCUCG
rnacentral:lncRNA from 1 species